GCGGCCGUGGCGGAACGGCAGACGCGCUAGGUUGAGGGCCUAGUGGGGUUUUCCCCGUGGAGGUUCAAAUCCUCUCGGCCGCACCA
rnacentral:tRNA from 1 species